CCCUUAGAUGUCCUGGGCUGCACGCGCGCUACACUGAUGUGUCCAGUAAGCACCUAACCUCUUCCGAAAGGAACGGGUAACCUUUGCAAAGCACAUCGUGAUGGGGAUAGAUUAUUGCAAUUAUUAGUCUUGAACGAGGAAUUCCUAGUAAGCACAAGUCAUCAGCUUGUGUUGAUUACGUCCCUGCCCUUUGUACACACCGCCCGUCGCUCCUACCGAUUGAAUGACUCGGUGAAAAAUUGGGACCGUGAGUCUGUUUGCUUCAUUGCGAGUGGAUUGAUGGGAACUUUUUUAAACCUCGCCAUUUAGAGGAAGGUGAAGUCGUAACA
rnacentral:rRNA from 1 species